rnacentral:lncRNA from 1 species
CGUCGGCCGCCCAUCAUAGUUCUGCGUUAUGACGGUUAACCCUUCAGUGAGGGUGAUACCAGUCACCCCUUCUUUUUCUCUGAAAGAACUCGCCAGGAACCCUUGACAUUUGUCUAUGGUCUAUUUCUUUGACGACCUGCCCAUAAUAAAAGGUGACGACCAUCACCAAGGGCAUGUUCAGAUUUUUUGUUUUUAUUUUUAUUAUUAUUUUCUUUGCUUUUAUUUUUAUAUCUAUUUAUCUCUUACUUAGGGCUUAUUUUUGCUUUAAUUCUUAGCAAUAUUAAUGCCAUGAAACGAUUA